UACGUAGGGUGCAAGCGUUGUCCGGAAUUAUUGGGCGUAAAGAGCUCGUAGGCGGUCUGUUGCGUCGGCUGUGAAAACCCGGGGCUCAACUCCGGGCCUGCAGCCGAUACGGGCAGACUAGAGUUCGGCAGGGGAGACUGGAAUUCCUGGUGUAGCGGUGAAAUGCGCAGAUAUCGGGAAGAACACCUAUGGCGAAGGCAGCUCUCUGGGACGGUACUGACGCUGAGACGCGAAAGCGUGGGGAGCGAACAGG
rnacentral:rRNA from 1 species